GCCAGGAAGCUGGGCACGAAGAACUGAACCAUCUGGAAGAACCAAUUUCCUCAACAGUUCAAAGUUGUGGUUGCCCGGCUUGUCACUGUAGAGUUGAAGGGAGAGGGUCACCUGACAUAGAUCGCACAUCCCCCUACUGCACGUGCCGCGGCAUGAUACUCUGCAGCUGGGUGUAGGCUCUGAAAAUGUUACAGAUACAGUGUCAGGUUGCAUGAAUUCCCCGAGGAAAAGGGUGUUGUACACGACCGAAGAGAUGUGGAUGGUGUGAGAAGCUGGAUCUCUCGGGAAGUUCCGAGCAAUGGAGGCCUCGAGAGCCUGGUGGUAGCUGCGUGUAAGAAAGACUCUCCCACCAUGACCGGCACCGAGGGUCUCGAUGAUGUUCUGCACAUCUACUUUCACUCCGUCUACACCACAUGAAGCCAGGUUACCUUUUAAGGCCAUCAACGACGCCUUCGGCUGUCACAUCUGUGUAGAAUGCAUCCCACGUGCACCACCCAAACCAGUCGAGAAAAGAAGGCAACUGAACAAACAAAAGAGGUGAAGAUCAUUAGAUCCCCAAUCAAAUGGCCAGAAUUCUUUGCUCUAUGAGCAAGUAGCAUGUAAGAUUCACUAACCUUCUUCUUCUCACGAUGGUGGAAUGUUUGCAUGUGUUUCUCUACAGCCCUGUUAAUCACAUAGAAGCACCAUCAUAUAAGAAACUGUUCUUCAAUUUUUUUCACAUUCACGAAAAGCAGCAGUGAUGGAACUGAUAUCAGGAAAAGAAAAGAAAAACAGUGGUCGGACAUACUUUACGGCUUGGCUGAUGACUUCAAAGGGAUUAGUUCCAGCGUGGACGUAGACAAGAACUGCCCGGAACUGGCCUUCGAGGAGAGGGAGGAAAGCGACAUAGAUUGUCGGAGCAUCGUCCCCGUUUACGUCAACCUCGUCGUUGCUCUC